rnacentral:tRNA from 1 species
ACCGAAAUAGCUCAGUUGGGAGAGUGUUAGACUAUAGAUCCUGAUCCCUGGUUCGAUCCCACAAUUCGGCA